UACAGAGGUGGCAAGCGUUGUUCGGAAUUACUGGGCGUAAAGGGCGCGUAGGCGGCCAUCUAAGUCAGUGGUGAAAUCCUGGGGCUUAACCCCCAGACUGCCGUUGAUACUAUCUGUCUUGAAUACCGUGGAGGUGAGCGGAAUAUGUCAUGUAGCGGUGAAAUGCUUAGAUAUGACAUAGAACACCAAUUGCGAAGGCAGCUCACUACACGCAUAUUGACUCUGAGGCUCGAAAGCAUGGGGAGCAAACAGG
rnacentral:rRNA from 1 species